rnacentral:piRNA from 1 species
GGCCUCCUUGUGCUUACCACAGG